rnacentral:rRNA from 1 species
UACGAAGGGGGCUAGCGUUGUCCGGAAUCAUUGGGCGUAAAGCGCGUGUAGGCGGCCCGGUAAGUCCGCUGUGAAAGUCCAGGGCUCAACCCUGGGAUGCCGGUGGAUACUGUCGGGCUCGAGUCCGGAAGAGGCGAGUGGAAUUCCUGGUGUAGCGGUGAAAUGCGCAGAUAUCAGGAGGAACACCAAUGGCGAAGGCAGCUCGCUGGGACGUGACUGACGCUGAGACGCGAAAGCGUGGGGAGCAAACAGG